CACUCACCACGGGUGCCAUUGAAGAAGAGCGUCUGCCGGGCUGGGUUCUGGAUGACAACUAUGGACCCAUCAUACUGGUGCAGACGGCAGAUGAACGAUCACAGUGAAAGAGAAGCCCAGCCAGCAGCCAGCACCAACGGCCAGCUAUGUGAGUGAGGCCAUCCUGGAUCAUCCAGCCCCAGCUGCCCCACCAGAUGACAGCAGCCAUACAAAUGACCCCAGUUGAGACCAAUAAAAGAUCUGCCCAUCUGAUACAGCCCAAACUGCUGAACCCCAGAAUCAUGAACAAAUAAGUAAAAGAAAAGAACACUGGUUGUAUUUUAUGGUUGCACUAUGUCCAGCAGAAAAAGACAUUUCUCAGUCUCCUUGCAGCAAGGUAAAACCAUCUGAUAAAAUUUUGUCCAGUUGGAUACAGGCCAAAAUUUUGCAUGACAAUUUUGGGAGGACUUCCUGAAACAGGUGGACAAACCCUUUUUUCUACUGAGUCACCUUUGUGCCGCCCGGAACUAGCAGUGUGAUGCACGGAAUUUAGGCAGCCAUAUUGAACCAUGAGGACAAGGGCAGUGGGAAUGGCGGAACCAAGAGCUGGAAGGUGCCUGAGUCUCUGGUGAAGAUGUGGAGCUGCUGUAACAGCCCUGGACUCCUACUUCUGGACUUCUUUGAUGUUUGAGUGUAACACUUUGGGUAUUUUUAUUUUUAAAAUUUAUUUUAGAGAUGAGGUCUCACUAUGUUGCCCAGGCUGGACUCAAACUCUUAUGCUCAAGCAGGCCUCCUGCCUCAGUUUCCUGAAUAGCUGAAGCUAUAGCACUUUGGGUAUUUAAGCUACUAUUUGAGGUUUAUUUAGCACCUCCUGGAAUAUCAAGCUUAACGUGUCCAAUCCUUGCCCCAGAUAUUUUCCUCCCCAGAUUUUCUCAAUCUCAAUAAAUGUCACCACCAUUCA